rnacentral:rRNA from 1 species
UCGGGAAUUUUGGGCAAUGGGGGAAACCCUGACCCAGCAACGCCGCGUGAAGGAUGAAGUAUUUCGGUAUGUAAACUUCGAAAGAAUAGGAAGAAUAAAUGACGGUACUAUUUAUAAGGUCCGGCUAACUACGUGCCAGCAGCCGCGGUAAUACGUAGGGACCAAGCGUUGUUCGGAUUUACUGGGCGUAAAGGGCGCGUAGGCGGCAUGACAAGUCACUUGUGAAAUCUCUGGGCUUAACCCAGAACGGCCAAGUGAUACUGUCGCGCUAGAGUGCAGAAGGGGCAAUCGGAAUUCUUGGUGUAGCGGUGAAAUGCGUAGAUAUCAAGAGGAACACCUGAGGUGAAGACGGGUUGCUGGGCUGACACUGACGCUGAGGCGCGAAAGCCAGGGGAGCAAACAGGAUUAGAUACCCAGUAGUCCCUGAGCGGGCUGGCAAGGCGCAU